rnacentral:rRNA from 1 species
AGAGUGAACGCUGGCGGCAGGCCUAAUACAUGCAAGUCGAACGGCAGCACAGCAGAGCUUGCUCUGUGGGUGGCGAGUGGCGGACGGGUGAGGAAUACAUGGGAAUCUGUCCAGUCGUGGGGGAUAACGGUAGGGAAACUUACGCUAAUACCGCAUGCGCCCUUCGGGGGAAAGCCGGGGACCUUCGGGCCUGGCGCGAUUGGAUGAGCCCAUGUCGGAUUAGCUAGUUGGCGGGGUAAAGGCCCACCGAAGGCGACGAUCCGUAGCUGGUCUGAGAGGAUGAUCAGCCACACUGGAACUGAGACACGGUCCAGACUCCUACGGGAGCAGCAGGUAGGGAAUUAGUGGACAAGUGGGCG